CCUACGGGUGGCAGCAGUGAGGAAUAUUGGUCAAUGGACGGGAGUCUGAACCAGCCAAGUAGCGUGAAGGAGGACUGUCCAGUGGAUUGUAAACUUCUUUUAUAUGGGAAUAAAAUGUUGCACGCGUGCGAGUAUGUAUGUACCAUAUGAAUAAGCAUCGGCUAACUCCGUGCCAGCAGCCGCGGUAAUACGGAGGAUGCGAGCGUUAUCCGGAUUUAUUGGGUUUAAAGGGAGCGUAGGUGGAUUGUUAAGUCAGUUGUGAAAGUUUGCGGCUCAACCGUAAAAUUGCAGUUGAAACUGGCAGUCUUGAGUACAGUAGAGGUAGGCGGAAUUCGUGGUGUAGCGGUGAAAUGCUUAGAUAUCACGAAGAACUCCGAUUGCGAAGGCAGCUCACUGGACUGUAACUGACACUGAUGCUCGAAAGUGUGGGUAUCAAACAGGAUUAGAUACCCGUGUAGUC
rnacentral:rRNA from 1 species